rnacentral:rRNA from 1 species
CGAUGAUCCGGUGCUUGCGCCGGGGAUUAGUGGCGAACGGGUGAGUAACACGUGAGUAACCUGCCCUUAACUCUGGGAUAAGCCUGGGAAACUGGGUCUAAUACCGGAUAUGACUCCUCAUCGCAUGGUGGGGGGUGGAAAGCUUUUGUGGUUUUGGAUGGACUCGCGGCCUAUCAGCUUGUUGGUGAGGUAAUGGCUCACCAAGGCGACGACGGGUAGCCGGCCUGAGAGGGUGACCGGCCACACUGGGACUGAGACACGGCCCAGACUCCUACGGGAGGCAGCAGUGGGGAAUAUUGCACAAUGGGCGGAAGCCUGAUGCAGCGACGCCGCGUGAGGGAUGACGGCCUUCGGGUUGUAAACCUCUUUCAGUAGGGAAGAAGCGAAAGUGACGGUACCUGCAGAAGAAGCGCCGGCUAACUACGUGCCAGCAGCCGCGGUAAUACGUAGGGCGCAAGCGUUAUCCGGAAUUAUUGGGCGUAAAGAGCUCGUAGGCGGUUUGUCGCGUCUGCCGUGAAAGUCCGGGGCUCAACUCCGGAUCUGCGGUGGGUACGGGCAGACUAGAGUGAUGUAGGGGAGACUGGAAUUCCUGGUGUAGCGGUGAAAUGCGCAGAUAUCAGGAGGAACACCGAUGGCGAAGGCAGGUCUCUGGGCAUUAAC